rnacentral:rRNA from 1 species
CACGUAGGUGGCAAGCGUUGUCCGGAAUUAUUGGGCGUAAAGCGCGCGCAGGCGGUCCUUUAAGUCUGAUGUGAAAGCCCACGGCUCAACCGUGGAGGGUCAUUGGAAACUGGGGGACUUGAGUGCAGAAGAAGGAGAGUGGAAUUCCACGUGUAGGCGGUGAAAUGGCGUAGAGAUGUGGAGAACACCAGUAGGCGAAGGCGACUCUCUGGUCUGUAACUGACGCUGAGGCGCGAAGCGUGGGAGCGAACAGG